rnacentral:tRNA from 1 species
UCCCUUCUAGCUUAAUCGCUAAAGUAUCUGCUUGCAAUGCAGGAGACCUGGGUUCCAUCCCUGGGUUGGGAA